UUCGUUGCCUUCUCUACCUCCUCUCCAGAUUGUGCGACGCUAGCUUUCUCUGCUUCCAGGCUUCCUUCCUUCUUCUUCUUCCACCUCUGGUUCCUAACCAUUUUCUAUCCAUUUUCUAGCUCUCACUCCAAUCUCCUCCACCCUCAUUUUAUAUCCAUUUUCUAUCCCCUCUCCCUUCUUUUCCCCUCUCAUUCAUUGUUCUGCGCUGCUACUUACAUCUCUAUCACCAAUAACUGAACCUGACUGUUGAUAUGAAUGGCGAUUGAAAUUUUCUUCCUCACUACGCGUACUGCUUCUGAAUCUCCUCACUAUCCAUUCGUGUAUCUCUCCCUGGUGUCAGGAAAUUCGGGCAAGAGCUAAAAAGAACGAGAAGAGCAAUGGGUGUUAAAUUCCCAGUAAUUCUCUUUCUUCUUUCUCCUCAUCCAAACUGCAAAAAAAUAGAUUUUCAAUUAUUAGUUGAACUCUUGUGCUCACGUGUGUUAAUCUGGUUUAUUUGCGGAAAUGUGUGAUUAUUGACGAGAACAUUCCUAAUCCUGUACAAAAUCCAAACACAAGGUCAAUAUUUGUUUUUUAUUUUCUUUAUUUGACAAGAUAACUUGGCCAAAUCUUAAUUUCUCUGAUUAUGGUGGAUAAUUAAAUUAGCUGUGUAAGAAAAUUUAUUGUUGGAACCAAUAAAGCAGAAUUAAGAGUUCAGAAUUCAAUUGAAGUUGAAGAUGUUAAGAACAUAUAUGUGGAAUGUAAGGCAAUUAAGGUCUGUGAACAAUGAGUGAUACUAGGAGAUUGGAUAUUCGCCACACCACUCUUUUGCUUCCAUUGUAAGAACCGGUUUUUGUGGUGUUGGUGAAGGAUAUGAGGCGGAACUCGAUGUAAUUUCCCUUCUGGUAGAGUUUUUGAAGGGGAAGGUGAUGAAACUCUGGAUAUGCUUAAAGAACGUGUAGUGACACCUUUCUCAAAGUGGGAUAAAGAGUUCUUGAGGAUCGUGUUUGAUCUGCGCUUCAAGGAACCUACUUAUGUCGAGCGUCGAUGGUUAUUAGAACAUUAUGUUUGUACACCAGCUGAGGCGGAACGCAAAGAAAAGAGAGCUGCUAAAAGGCUACGGUGGAGGGUUUCAAGAAAUUGUUAGAAGAAGCAAAGGAGGAUGGUUGAUCAUACUACUAAUUAUCAUAUAUUUAGGAAGAUAUGGGGCCAUGAUCAGCGAUUCGAGGCCUUAGAUCGCAAGGAUUGAGAGGAAAGGCCUCAAACAGCACCCUAAAUAUAAUCGAGAAUUUGUCGAGGCAGCAAAAUCGCUACACGGAAGAUUAUUUCUGACAUUACUGCUGAACCAUAAAGUUCUGGAACUCUGAACCAACCAGAAGUUUCUAUUUUUUUCUUGAAAAUAUGUACGAAUUGAAAGGUUGAUACCCAAAAAGUUGAGAAUAAGUCCAUUAUAUGACGACUUGACGAGCUCUUGAUCCGUCUUUGUGCAAGGUUAUGAAGAUUGUGAUCAUGGCAGGCUUUGGCCUCGUUGUACUUCUCACAAGACAGUGAAAAUAAAGGCAGUGGAUAGAGCUAAUUGUUUGUGUCAGACUAAAGAUGUGAGUAUGAAAGUGGCUGGAAUCCAACCUUGGAUUGCAGGCAAUGGAUAGAGCUCAUCGUUUGGGUUAGACUACAGAUGUGACUAUAGGAUUGAAAUUCAAUGAAAGCAAAUGAUGGAGAGACAGACUGAGAGCAUGGACUUCCAUAGGGAUCAAGAUUAUAGAAGAUAAGCAAGCAACAACUGGCAAUGCCAAUGUUCCUCUUUUUGAAGUUAAAAAUAGAAUGUUAUUUUGUCGUCAAAAUUAAGUUUAACAAAUUGCAAUUUCACAUAUUAUACUUAUCAUACUUUGGGGGAAGGCGAGCGUGUGUUGCAUUACUUGCAUAUCUCCUAAUUUAUUUAUCUAUUUAUGGUUUUGUAUUAUUUAUUCUAUGUUACUUCAACGUUAUCAUAACAUUUAUAUUUCGUAGAA